AUUGAACGCUGGCGGCAGGCCUAACACAUGCAAGUCGAGCGGAGCGGCGGACGGGUGAGUAAUGCCUAGGAAUCUGCCUGGUAGUGGGGGAUAACGUCCGGUAACGGGCGCUAAUACCGCAUACUAUCAGAUGAGCCUAGGUCGGAUUAGCUAGUUGGUGGGGUAAAGGCCUACCAAGGCGACGAUCAGUAACUGGUCUGAGAGGAUGAUCAGUCACACUGGAACUGAGACACGGGCCAGACGCCUACGGGAGGCAGAUGUGGGGAAGAUUGGAAAAUGGGAGAAAGCCGGAUCCAGCCAUGCCGCGUUUGUGAAGAAGGUCUUCGGAUUGUAAAGCACUGUAAGUUGGGAGGCGUUACCAACAGAAUAAGCACCGGCUAACUUCGUGCCAGCCGCCGCGGUAAUAC
rnacentral:rRNA from 1 species